rnacentral:lncRNA from 10 species
UUUUUCAAGUGUCUCCACUAUAAAAUCCCCUUCCCUCCCUGCUUUUAUACUAUACUCUUGGGAAGGAAGUCAAUAUGCACAGCCCACACAGAAGGAGCAUGAAUUAUGCUGCACAUCUCUGAGGGCAGACUAUAUGAAUUAUUUGAAAUUUUUAUGCAUGGGAGAUUUUUCAAAUUUCCCCCAUUUGUUUACGUAUUCAAUCAUUUAUUUACUUCAGUAUGGACUCACAGAUAUUUAUUUUAUACUUUGUGUUUUAAUCUAAUAAUAUUUUAUUUAUAUUGUAGGUCAAAUUGUUCUACCUUUGGUCACUGAGAGAUCUUUCAGUUGAAAUUUGCACCCUUUUAACAUGUUUCCAUCAUUGUGAGAUUUGGGUGCUACUUCCAAGACCUCUGGGGGUAGAUGACACUGGUUCUCAUUACAGAAUGUGACAUACUUUUCCCAAUGCUGGGAAUACUAAGCACUGAGGGGAAUUUUUGGUUCUCAAGUGAAUGUGAAUGAGGCAGAGAGUAGAAGAAGUGUU